rnacentral:rRNA from 1 species
GACGAACGCUGGCGGCGUGCUUAACACAUGCAAGUCGAACGGAAAGGCCCUGCUUUUGUGGGGUGCUCGAGUGGCGAACGGGUGAGUAACACGUGAGUAACCUGCCCUUGACUUUGGGAUAACUUCAGGAAACUGGGGCUAAUACCGGAUAGGAGCUCCUGCUGCAUGGUGGGGGUUGGAAAGUUUCGGCGGUUGGGGAUGGACUCGCGGCUUAUCAGCUUGUUGGUGGGGUAGUGGCUUACCAAGGCUUUGACGGGUAGCCGGCCUGAGAGGGUGACCGGCCACAUUGGGACUGAGAUACGGCCCAUACUCCUACGGGAGGCAGCAGUGGGGAAUAUUGCACAAUGGGCGGAAGCCUGAUGCAACAACGCCGCGUGCGGGAUGACGGCCUUCUGGUUGUAAACCGCUUUCGCCUGUGACGAAGCGUGAGUGACGGUAAUGGGUAAAGAAGCACCGGCUAACUACGUGCCAGCAGCCGCGGUGAUACUUAGGGUGCGAGCGUUGUCCGGAUUUAUUGGGCGUAAAGGGCUCGUAGGUGGUUGAUCGCGUCGGAAGUGUAAUCUUGGGGCUUAACCCUGAGCGUGCUUUCGAUACGGGUUGACUUGAGGAAGGUAGGGGAGAAUGGAAUUCCUGGUGGAGCGGUGGAAUGCGCAGAUAUCAGGAGGAACACCAGUGGCGAAGGCGGUUCUCUGGGCCUUUCCUGACGCUGAGGAGCGAAAGCGUGGGGAGCGAACAGGCUUAGAUACCCUGGUAGUCCACGCUGUAAACGGUGGGUACUAGGUGUGGGGUCCAUUCCACGGGUUCCGUGCCGUAGCUAACGCUUUAAGUACCCCGCCUGGGGAGUACGGCCGCAAGGCUAAAACUCAAAGGAAUUGACGGGGCCCCGCACAAGCGGCGGAGCAUGCGGAUUAAUUCGAUGCAACGCGUAGAACCUUACCUGGGUUUGACAUGGAUCGGGAGUGCUCAGAGAUGGGUGUGCCUCUUUUGGGGUCGGUUCACAGGUGGUGCAUGCCUGUCGUCAGCUCGUGUCGUGAGAUGUUGGGUUAAGUCCCGCAACGAGCGCAACCCUUGUUCACUGUUGCCAGCACGUUAUGGUGGGGACUCAGUGGAGACCGCCGGGGUCAACUCGGAGGAAGGUGGGGAUGACGUCAAGUCCUCAUGCCCCUUAUGUCCAGGGCUUCACGCAUGCUACAAUGGCUGGUACAGAGAGUGGCGAGCCUGUGAGGGUGAGCGAAUCUCGGAAAGCCGGUCUCAGUUCGGAUUGGGGUCUGCAACUCGACCUCAUGAAGUCGGAGUCGCUAGUAAUCGCAGAUCAGCAACGCUGCGGUGAAUACGUUCCCGGGGC